rnacentral:lncRNA from 1 species
CUCUUUUUCUCCUGUGUUACAUUGCUCACCAAGUGAAAUAAAGGGAGAAAAGUGUGUGGUGACCUUUUCUCGCUUCAUUAGGGAGAGGGGUUAAUCGGCCUGAACAUGCCUUUUGCCUUUAUUGUGAUGAACCGCCUAAAACCGCUAGAGUAGUUCACCCUAGUGAGGGCCAAUUUGCACAGGUUUGGGCUCCAUUUCAUACAUGAACC